ensembl:lncRNA
AAAAGUGAUAAAAGACUUGAAAAUACCUUCUGUAGAGGCAUCCCAUUUUAAGAGAUUGUUCAAAGUCAACUCCAUUUAAUGUAGAAGACAAGGAGCAUAAACAAUGAACUGAAGAUAUAAAUUUGUUUUCAGGCGAGCCAGGUAAUGGGCCUCCUUGAAAGCUGAAAAGGGCCAUGCUGAGAAUGCAGGGAAAGCGAUACUGAAGACAAGGAUGUUUGUGGGACAAGAAGCAAGGCAUACCAUAAUAUUACUCCCAUUCUCCUUGGACCACCGAUUUCAAGGAUGUUCGAAGCAAGAUACAGCUGCCUCUCCGCAGUCUGUGCAUUUAGAAGAAAUGGAAAGAAGGAAUACCCCUGAGGUGGAGGUCAUCCCUGCUAGAUCACAUUUGCCUGCUCUGAUUCACUCUCAGGAGGAGCACUGCAAAGAGAAGGUACCUCUUCAUACAGAUCUUGCUGGAUACAACUGGAUCAAUUGAACUUAUGUGAGAGAGAGGUACAAAGGAAGUAAAUGCAGGUACGUAGAUAAUUUACAGGAAAGUUUAGCCAAAGUAGCUAAGUUUUUACUAACAUACAAUUAGCUGAAAGUGAUGGAUUUUCUUCAAGUUUUGGGUAACUUACUAGUUAAUAUGCUGGACCAUUUUUCCUGAAUAUGUUCAGAACUGUGUAGGUUUUUGAGUCUUCUAUUUCUAAUAACAGACAGAGCAAAUUUUAAAGGAGAAGGAAAAAAGCAAAACAAAACACACACACAUGCAUACAAAAAAUGCAAAAACAAAAACAGCAACAAAAACCUCCAUUGGUGGGUUUUGGAAUCUCUUAAUCCUAUUUUUGCUUGUCUCAAUACCAUGUGCAUUUCCUGAAGGGGCUUGUGUGCUGAUCUGCACUAUUACCAUAUGUUCUACAUAUGAAAAUAAUUCAGUGAGAGUAGUUGUCUAUGUUUGUAUGCGGUGCAUAUACACAACAUACAAACACACACACACACAUUCUUAUUUAUACUCAUAAAUCAUUGCUUUCAAGAACAGAUGCCCUUCUACUGCUCUGUACCUCAGUGUUUCUACACUCGAGAGUGCCUUAAUUUGGAAAAAAUUGCAACUGUCACAGCUCUGCUGCAGUAAUGGUUUUGUAAGAACCAACUUAAUAAAAACAUCAAGCCUCUCUGUUCCAAACAAUUUUAUUAUAGUUAACAACUCAGCCAGUUAUCAAAUAUGUUGUCACCAAUGCACUCUGUCUUCGUGAAUGAUGACAUGGACGAGCCCUGGAUUUCUGUAGUGCUUUACACAUAUACACAGUGCCUUACAGCUGUGUAGCAGCGUUUCCUUAAGGAAUAAAACUGCACAGGAAGUAGAUAGAUGAACCAUGUGAUAACUAUUUUUUGAUGAAAAGCUUCUACAGACAUCAAAUUAGUUUACCUGAAAUAAUUUAAACAACAGUAGAAUAAUUACAAAGUCCACUGUCUGGACCUUGACUUUUCUGAAACAAGCAUACAAUUUUUAAUAAUCAUGACCUUCACCUUCAGCUCUGACCUUUGUCUCUCCAAAACAUACCCCUUUGCUGUAUAUGCAUGGAUGUCUUAACAUGAAUAACCUCCUUAAUGUAGAUACUUAUAUAUCUAAACUUCACAGAGACUUUUAUGUGCCUUGAAUGUAGUUUCUAUGUAAAGUGUGUGUUCAUGUAAAAGCCAUAGUUUUCCACUUAGUACUUUUUUUCAUUAAAAGCACAUUGAUGUCACCUGCACUUUGCCCAGUGGUAAAUCUCUGUUUGAAAUAUGCUGCCUUUUUAUUGUUAUUUUUCAAGAAUAUGCUACAGAAAUGUUCUCUGUGCAUCAGAUGAACAUGGAGCUGGGUAUUAUGCUACACAGCCUUGUACUGAUAUGCAGUUUUCCUCCACUGUUUAAAUGUCUGAUAUUUCAGGGACCAAUUGGUUUAGAAAUUGAAGCUAAGAAACGUUGAAUUGAGAACUGUGACAAAAUGUCAGUUCUGUAGAGUUUUACCUUUAGAAAACACAACUGAGUUUGACUCACUAUGUUUUCUGGUAACCAGCGAAUAGAAAAUGUGUUCUUACUGAUUUUAUUUUAUUUUAUUUUUUUCCUAUCUCCAGAGACACAUUCAGUGUAUGGUAAACUAAAGCCAUUAUAUUAUUCCAGAAAACAGAUGUGAUAAUUAAGAACAGGAAUAAGUUUCAAAAUUCAAUGGAAAAAAUAGUUGUCAAGUUUAUUUCUGAAGAGAAGCACAAACAAAAUGCAUGCCAAUGUGUGGAUGAUUAAUGGGGGAAUUUCCAAGGUCUUUCCAUUAGUUCCUUUAUACUGCUGUACACAAUCAUGCAUGCUUUGUAUGGCCAUCAUAACUUUACGCAAUAUACUUGACCAUAAUGCCAAUCAACAGUUUCUCCUGGCAAACAGAAAGUGUUAAGAACUUCAAUAUAAGAAGACUUUUUCUGCUUCAGAUGGAAUGGAUUCUGUUUGUCAUUAUUCACUUCCUCCUCAACUUGCUCAGUGUGCAUCUAAAUUAAUUCCUGUCACUUAGGUGCUCUCUUGAUAAAUACACGAUCUAUAUUUAAUGUCUCUUUAUUCUCAUUUUAUUAUACUUGUAUGCAGUAGUGAAAGAAGAUAAUGGGCAGAGCAGUGUACCACAGCAGAGAAUUUGAUACUGCUCCUUUUCACUUUUUGGUGGAACAGCUAUAUUUAGCAACACAGACUGUCAGCCACAAAUUGCCUACCUAUGUGCUCACUUUUUCCAAUCCGUGAUAUAGAAUUCUCUGUACUACAUUGAUAAAUAUCACCACGUUUCACCCAUACAGCUAUAGUAAUUGUUUCCAUAGUAACUGAUUAAUUUACAAAUGUUCUGAACUGGAAGAUUAAUUGGAAGAGGAGCAGAGGCGUAAAUCCAGUAUAAUAGGUGCUUGUGUGGGUGCUGUAAGGCUUUUGUUGCCUGUGCCAUAGGCAGUGCUUUAGUUAAGGAAAAUGAGGGGUUGAAAUUCAAUAUUUUAGGUGAGGUGUGAUUUACAAUUGCAAACAUAUAGGAGUGCAGAAGUCAAAAUAAUAAACCUUUGGUAAAUUUGCACACUCCUCCAUUUGCUACAUAUAAUUAUUUCCUGUCUGUGGUAUUAAUUCCUUGUGAGUAAAAGUUUCUCAUAGCAUGUCCUGCUUCAGUGUUGCUAAGUUCACCUAUUGAAUGCAGUUGGUUGUGUGGUGUUAGUUGUUUUUCUUUGUUUGUUUUAUUUAUAUACUUUGUCUAAAAAGCCAUUGAGUUUUUCUGUUAUGGGCAAGGAAAUUUAAAAGUUCCCAUUGUUUUUCAGUGCAGUAAAAAUAUAUUGAGAACUUCCAGUGCAUGCAGGCUGCAUUUAGCAUAAACAGGAAUCACAACAAUUGCUCUUUGUAAAUGAAAAAUCACUUGAAUUUAUGGCAUUGUUUUUUUGAUGUUUCUCUUCACAAAGAGGAAGAUAUUGCUGAGGCUACGAUCAUGGAUUUCCUUGCAAGACUGUCUUCUAGGCUCUUGGUUCUCUUUAGUUGGUGCAAAGUAGUUAUGGUAACUUACAGUGCAAUAAUUCACAUAUCCCACAAAGUUUAUUUGUUUGCUAAAAACAAACUACCUUUUUCCUCCCAGUACUUUGAAUCUCUUCUCGGGCACGCCAUUAGUGAAGUGCUUUCUUUCCAAAUCUGGAAAAAAAAAACAAAACACCAUCAAAUUGAGACUUAAUUUUAAGCUAUUUCUGAACGGAAGUAAUGAUGAAAAUAUGAAUGUUUCACCACGUUGUGAAACAUACAAGUAACUUGGAUUUAAAAACCUGUUUUUACAGCCUGUGCUUUCUAUGUUUAUGUGCUCAGGUCUUGGGGCAGCGAAGGACCCCUUACUCAAACUGUAGGCGCUACAAAUGAGCAAUGCAGUCUGGCCAAAUCUCAGUGACCCCCUCCUGCAGAGCUCAGGCUGGGCACUGUACAUUCCUUUCUGAUACUUUGGUGCUCCAGGAGGAUUUCCAAAAUCCUUUUUCCUGGGUUGGGUGCCUUAUUGAUGUCAAAAAACAAUGAAUAGAAUAGAUAUAGGAGAAAAAGAGGCAGGCACUGUGGGCUCGGUUUCAGGUGUUCAAAGACUCAUAGAAAAAGAUUCAUUCUGAAAAGUGCAUGCAAAACAUGAUUAUUUGGAAAAACAAUUAUUUGGAUUCAUUGAUGUUUAACUAUUCAGAGGGCAUCACUUGAGUUUAUGAAAAGUCAGAAAAAGUGCAGGAGAUACUAGGAUGGAUGCAAGUUUGAGGAAAGUAUCUUUGUUUAUAUUCUGGGAGAUGGGAAAAGGUGACCUCAAUUUUGAAGUUUCUGCUUCAGGCCAAUGUUAACGGCCAGAUCAUUAUGUUGCAUAAAAUCUUUUUACAGCAAUAUGCUAUUUCUAACUUUUUAAAAUAUUGUGCAGGCAUAAGGACCAAAUGCCACAAUGGUUUGUUAAUAAAAUUGCCACUUUGCCUAAUACAAGACUAACUCAAAUAAUGUGGAAAACAACAUUUCAAAGUCUUUCAAAUACCCCUUCCUGAAGUAUACAUGUAAUUAAGGCUGACUGAUCUUGCAGUUAGUUAUAGUAGGUGCUGAAGUUAUUUUCUUCCCUGACAAAAGGCAGAAUGGAUGAAAUCCUCUCAGAGAUUUCCUGAUAAUGGUGCAGAUUGUGUCUUUGAAUGAGAGACCCUGAAGUUAUACAGCACUGAUACUCCAGCUGUUCACCUUCUAAUCCCCCAGGUCAGGAAUCGGUCUGUGAUUCACAGGCUUCUGCUGUCCAGGCAUGCACAAAACAUACAGUCUCUCCCCAUUUUGAUAUUAGGCUGCCUUUGUACUUGCGAGCUGAGCCUGGUUUCAUGCUGCAUCUCUUCGCAGAACACCUGCAACUCCUUUAGGUUGUUGUAAUUCCACAGCACAUCACUCUAUUUUGCCAGCAAAAAUAUUGAGUUCAGGCACAGCUGCAUCAAUUAGCUCCUCAAGUCUGCAAAUAGUGAUACUGGUGACAUUUUUUUGGAUGAAUGAGGGACCUACUGGCAAGUACAUAAAUGAAAUGAUCAACAUUCUCUUUCAUGUUUCUUUGUGUUUAAACAUUCUUUUACCAUCGUGUACUUUGAAAGUGACAGUCUUCUGCCCUUAGCUCAUAAAACACUAACAAAUAUUUUGCAUCUGUCACUACCAUGCUUCAUAGAUGCACAGAUGUACAUGCUGAUUAAAUAUACAAGGGCUGCUCUGAAAGUUAUGCCUCCUACUUUAUUAUAUUGGCCCAUGAGAUAAAUGUUGGUGUUACGGCAGUAAAGGUUGAACCUUCCCAAGAAUAUUCUGUUACAUUUUGCUGCCAUGCAACAGAUGGCAGCAGAGGGGCAGUGUGACAAAAUGGCAUCUGACAUGGAAGUGCAUGUGAAAAAAGGGGUGUUAUUGAAGUCCUCCAUACAGAACAAAUGACACCCACUGACAUUCAUCAACACUUGCUGAACAUCAGUGGAGACCAAACAAUGGAUGUGAGCGCAGUGAGGCGGUGGGUGGUCUGUUUUAGCAGUGGUGACAGUUAUAUGAAAGAUAAGUAUGGCAUGCAAGCCCUUGGCAAAAAUGCAUAGCUAAUGGUGGUGCUAAAAAUAGCUUUCUGUAGCUGAGAAUUCUCUCCAUCAAAUAGUGUUAUUGUGCUCUUUGUAUCUGUUGUAGUUUCCAUGGAAAUUAAUGGGAGACAUUACUUCCAGGGUGACCUAUAUGUAUAAAUAUGUAUUUACCUUGGUCAGAGAUAACUGAUAUUUUGUGAUACAAACUACUUUAUUAUACAACUAGUGUCUUAUGAUCACUGAAUUUCAUUAUGUUGUUGUUAUCCUGUGCUGUUCCAGAUAGUUUCUCAUCUUGUUGUCUUUCCACAGAUACCCAGCCAAAGCCAAAGGAACUAAAGCUCACUGUAUCAUUAGGAGGAUGAAUCCCUCCUGUUGCUUUAUUUCUUUUCCAUUUGUUUGUUUUUUCUUUUUGUCUUUUUUGUUUGUUUUUGUCUUUUCUCUUUUUGGUAACUAAAAUCCAGAUCUACUAGGACACAUUUUGAAGAAAAAAAUGUUGGAAUGAUGGGGAAUAUAUCCAUCAACAAGAUGAGGAAAAUAGGAUCAAAGCCCAGGAAAGAGGAAGUCAGCUGGGAGGACUGUGCAGGUGAAUUAGAACUACAAUAGUAAUAAACACUACACCUUAAGGUUUAUGACUGACCUCAUGGGCCAGUCACUGGGGCUGACAGUUGGAGAAUAGUAUCUAUUUUCAGAUAAGUAUAAGGUUUUGAUUUGUUUUUUGUUUUUUGGUUUUUUUUCCCAGGUUAAUGUAGAGAUAAAGCAAAUCUUCUGAACGUUUGCCCCUAGCUGGAGCCCUGAGAGACAGGAGAGUAUACAUGCAUUAGACAUCUACUCUACCCGGCUGAUUUCAGGCAAUGAUUUGGAACAGAAGAUAUGAAGAUAUGAGCUCUGCCCUGCUUGGCUUGACACAGAAAAGAGAUUUUCUGUUGAUAUCACUGUUGGGUAGAACUGGUGCUUGACGUUUUCAUUAAAAUAACAGAUACAGCUCUACUUGCUGCUGUAGCUGCAAACUCCCUUGUUUAUAUUGCCUCUGUUUUACUUUCAGGGCAGGAACAUCCCCUUGGUCCUCAGACUGUUUAGAUUCAGGGAAGCAGUGAAUGUCAGUGUGUGUGUAUGUAUUCAGUUCCCUCUCUGUACAUUUAGAAAUUGUAAAGGGAAAUUUAUUGUGAAGAGGGAAAAAAUAUAGGACUGGUUUCUGUCCCUGUGCUAAUAUCAUGGUAUUAACAUAGGUGAAUUGCUGCUGGUUGAUAUGAGCCUGGCUUCCAAGAGGACAUUCUUGUAGCACCUUGAUUGCCUGGGCCACCCCUCCAAGGAGGCUCAGCAGGCAGCCUCAGCCUUUCUUGUUUGCUGUUUUGUUGUUUCAGUUCUCAGCUGGAGAUUAUUUCUUCUUUCUGUCUCCUCUUGAUACAUGAAUGUGCUGUGUCAGGCUUGCCUUCAGGUCAGUGUCCUGUGCAGGCCUCGCCAUGGUGUCAGCAGUAAGCAGAUCUGAGAAGGCCAAAGGCAGGGCAUCAAUGGAAAAUGAGCCUAACAAAUGGGAAGUCAGGCUGGAUGGCCAGCCAUAAUGUCUUUCCUCUCACGAAACAUGACAGAAAGGCACAACAGAAAAGGCUGCUUUUCCUUAUCUUUAGCCUUUCACCUGGGUUUGUUUUUUCCUCUGUCCUAAUGGUUCCUUGUCAGCUUUUUCUGUGUCCUGACUUCCUUUCCCCUGAGCCUCUCUUGAGAGGCAGAGGAACAGGGUCUGAGCAAGGCAACAGUGGGCAACAAGCUAUAAAUUUGACAGAUUAUGAACGUGCUUCAGUGUGCUGUGUAACCUGUAAAUCAAAACCCAUUUUAAGACCAGCAAUGAAUCCCUGUAUAUCAAAAAGCAGGAGAUGUUAGAAUAGGCAGUUGCUGCCUCUUACAAUAGCUCCUCCAGAAACACAUUGUGCAGAGGGUCUUGUAUUCAUCAUUAAAAUUGUUUUCUUUCUUCCAUUAGCUGCUAUGCAGCAUGUAUGUAUUAGAAGUCAUGGCUAGUAUGACUUCAUUGAUAAAGCUCCAUUGUAUCCAACAUGAAAAGAGAAUAAAAGAGGUAAUAUUCUCUGGCAUAUCAUGUGGACUCUCUUUUUACAGCAUGG